GAGGGUAUAACUCAGUGGUAGAGUGCAUGCCUAGCAUGCAUGAGGUCCUGGGUUCAAUCCCCAGUAACUCCA
rnacentral:tRNA from 1 species